CUUUACUUCUGACUAAGCUUCCAGGAGCCAGGAUCUCCCUUCUCCAUGUCAGAAGAGAUAAAACAGCCUGCAGUCAUCACAGGUGUCCUGCAGUGAAGAAGAGUAUCUGAAGGAAGCUGGCCAUGAUAUAUAGCUGCUCAACUAUGUCAUCCCUGUGAAAAUGUUUGCAGCCCUUUAUGGUGAUGUCCCUAUAGAUGAUCCGUCACUGAGGUUAACAGAAGUCCUCAUGGAUGGGUAUUGCAGCAUAAAUUAACUUCAGUUGAAGAAACAAGAUGGGUGCAAAGGAAGAAGAAAGCAAAUUCUUACUGCAUCAAUAAGAGAGGAAGGAUUCAUUGCCUUUGAAAAUUUGAAGGAAGAGAAUAAGAAUUAAUUCCCUUUUUGUCAUUGCCUCCAAAGCUCCAUUCUGAGCUCCAUUCUACCUUAUUUUUCUGCAAAUGUCUGAAGACUCAAGCAGUGGGCAGUUCUUUAAUAUACAGAGAUAGCACAGAGUUCGCUCUACUCAAAUAUGAAAAUGGCUUAGCAAAUAUCUAGUUUCUGUGAGGCCAGCUUGUGAUCUAUACUCGAGUAAAGAUUUUUUCCUUAAAACCCCUUGCUUUAAUGGGCAAUUUCCCUUGAAAAUGGUAAACUGCAAAUUAAAUUGCAAAAAGCAAUUAAUUAUUGAAAUUGUAAUAUCCUUGUAAAGGUUAAGAGGUAAUAUAAAUGAAGUUCCUGUGAGCACAUUAGUGGAAUUACUAUCUUUCCCUUUAUAAGUGGUAACUAACGACCUUGCUAAUUAGCUUUUUCAUCAGGAAAAGGAAUAUUGAAAUAUGUAGUUAUAUUGCAAAAGCACAAUCUAUGAGUAGGUUAUUUUGUUACAAUAUAAUAUCGAGAGAACACUCUCAGUGCUGAACCUUCCCAGAGAGGGUUAAGAUAUCUUCCCAGAGCUUGUAUGGGAGAUGAGUGAAGCCCCCAUAAACCAGAAGGAGAUGAUUAGUGACCUGCUAUGACAAUUAGACGUGCCCAAGUCUAUGGGCCCUGAUGAUCCACCCCAGAAUACUGAGGGAACUAACGAAAAGAACUUGCCAAACUACUCUCAAUCACCCAGCAGUCCUGGUUAACUGUAAAAGUUCCAGCUGACUGAAAAUUAGCAAAUGUUACACCCAUCUACAAAAAGGGUUGAAAAGACAAUCUGGGGAACUACAGGCUUGUCAGCCUGACCUGGGCACCAGGAAGGUUAUGGAAGAGAUAUCCUGAAUGCCAUUGCAUGGCCCAUACUGGGCAACCAGGGGAUCAAGCCCAGCCUACACGGAUUUUAAAAAGCCACGUCCUGCUUGACCAGCCUGGUCUCCUGUAUCUAUACCUAUAUAUGUAUUAUAGAGAUAUGUAUAUAAUCCAUAUAUCUGUAUUAUAAAUACACAUAUGUCUAGUAAAUGCAUGCCCGUGUAGGUAUAUGAAUGCUAUAUACAUACUGGAUUUACUAAGGACAAGCCUUUUGGAGAGUUGUAAAAUAAAAGGACUUGGUUCUUCCCCCACUGAGAACAUGUUUCGGACAUUGAUACACCUAGAAGUGAGUUCUGUUUGGGUUUCAGCUGACAAGAGCUGGCAUUACAAUUCUUCUGUGGAUGAAUCUCUGUGAGAUUUCAGAAGUUCCAGCUUUGUGGAGUCCCUGAGUUCUGUACAGCCCUCAGGGUGCGAUGGGGAGGGGAGGAAAUGAGCUUCCACUUGGAAAAUGAAUUGGCCAUUGUCCCCAACUCGAGGAUUUUCAGCUUUCCUUUCUAAAAACCCCAGAAAUCAUUAGCCAUAUCCUUGGGAAUGUGAUCUAAUAGGGUGACCUAGAUGCAAGUGAUUGCUGGAACUCAAGGGGAGAGGCAGCUCUGCUCCAGUUCUGUGGAAAAUGACUGGGGGAGGAACAGGACGCUGCCUUGAGCCCCCUUCUCAGAUACACCCAGUUUAACCAAACCGCUAAAAGUCGCCUUUGAGUUCUGCAAAGGCACCUUAGAAGCCUCAGGACAGUGGCCCAGGGCGGUUACGAAUCCCAGAGGUUUUACGGAGAGGAGAAGCACGCUCUGCUCUCUGCCCCCGCUUUUCACACACACUCCCUUCCUCGUCUGCGGCCGCAUCAAACGCUGCGGAGGGGCCGGGGCCGGGGCAGGGCCGGGAGCUGUGAGCCCGCCCUGCCCCGGGCCGCCCCCGGCGCUGCUCCGGCCCCGCCGCCCACCGAGUGUCACUGUCGAGCAGCGCAGCGCAGCGCAGCGCCCCGGGCACCCAUCGCCGGGGCACCGGUGCGCUCCGGGUCCGGCGCGGAAACUGGCACCUCCUGCCGAAAGCUGAUCCCGGACUGAGGUUUGAAGCGGAAAGAAACAGCGUCUUUCUGUUGCACGUGUCCUUAAACAAACCCGUGUCUCCGAACGCGCCCGCCGCUUAGUGCGAGAGAGCACCGCGGCAAGACCUGCUCUUGGUACGUUCCUCUCAUCCUCCUUUACCGGAAUCUGGGGAAGAUAGACAGGUGUCCCACUCAUAAGUAAGAUGACACUAUUAAAUUAUUUGUAUUGGGUCUACAUGCGCAGAAAGCAGGCUGCCAGUAGAUGAGCAUUUCUUACUGGGAAAUCACUCGUUCAUCAUCCAAAUGUUCCUUAUUUUAAAAAGUCCAAUUAAGGAUCGAAAACAGCCAUGUUUUUCAUGAGUUUGUGCAAGGCUAAGACAAUUUCCAGGUAAAGGAGGAUGGGUCUGGGACCUGUAAUCUCAGAGUUCAGUCACUCUGGCCGUGUUUGCAAGGGCAGAGCAGGCCUUCAGCCAAGGGGCUGGUGCAGAAUAAAACUCCUUGGCCUCUCCCACAGCCACCAGGCUUGUCAACAACAGGACACAAAAGAGAAAAUCAAUAGCUGUAGCCACUGUUUUAGAGCCUUGCAAAAUGUAGAGUACCUGGUGGCUUUUAUAUAAUAGAUGAUAAAUAAUAACUUCAUAAAGAUGAAACAACAUGCAAAGGGUUUAUGGCAAAUAAUAAAGAUUGUUUUCCUCUUU